rnacentral:tRNA from 1 species
GGAGGCGUGGCUGAGUGGCCGAAAGCGGCACGGUGCUAACGUGCUAAGGGGUCAAAAGCCCCUUCGGAGGUUCGAAUCCUCCCGCCUCCG